rnacentral:lncRNA from 1 species
GGAGUUUCCGUGAGGUUUUUUCAGUGGGAUUAUUUGUGUCCCUGUGGCUCUUCAGGGAGCUUGCAGAAUUCUAGCUAAAGAUAAGAAGGGCAUCGCUUCAAAUGGGAGGCCAAUCAAUGCAGCAUUAGGAAGGCUUCAUUCAGCUCAGCACCACCUUGGUGAAGAUCCCGGUGUUACACAUCCAAUCGUUCACCUCCUUCCAAGACUAUGACAUUCCAGGAAACCUUCACUGCUAAGAGGAACUAAGAUCUAGAGUAUCUCCUCGAGGAAGUACAACUGACUUGUCUUUGGACAAAAUUGAGAAGAACUCAUAAACUUGGCUUCCUCGCUUCUGCUCCUCAGACGCGCGUGGAUGAUUUGAAGAUAUUAGCCUAACAAGAUGGAAGCAGGUUUAAAAUUUUACAUAAGAAGUUACCUUUUUCAGGUAAUGGUGUUUUUCUGUAAUUUUCCCAAACCUUUCGCUUCCUCAAGUAUUGCAAAUUUUUAGGGCAUGCUUGAAUGAUUUAAUUAUGAAGAAUAACUACAUUUUAAACUUAAUUUUUUAAAAAAGAAACCAGUUUUAUAAUUUUCCUAGCCAAGGAGUAGAGCAGGCAUGACAUUCAACUCUAUGGAGUUUGGAAAAUUUUUAGAAAUUUAUUACUGAACAGCACUUGGUUUUUUGGAUUUGAAAAUUAAGCCAUAGAGCUACAACUAAAUUCUGUUUUGCCAAACUUCACAGCACCAGCAGGCUCUGAGCAAUCAUAAGCAUUUGAAACUAGCAGGCACUGCCCCUUAACUCUGUCGCUAUCUUGGGCAUUUGAAUGAAAAAAUAUAAGUAUUACAGGAUUGGCUCUAAAAAGCCUACCAUGUGUUCUGAAUUCCUGGAAGAUAGAGCUUAUAUAAAUUACAUAAUAACAAUAUUGAUUUUUUUUUUUACUUUAGUCAUAGAUUGGCAAUACUAUAUGGCACUUUAUGAAACUAUUCCCAUGCAUAUAUUCAGUGAGUAGGAUUUGAUCUUAGCUUUCAUGAUACAGGCAGUUUCCUUUUAGUGUCAUUGAAGGGCUUUAUGCCACCUAAAAAUGUUUAAUAACAUAAAUUAUAUAUUUGCUUUAUAAGUUACAUUACUCGGCCUUUGUCACUGCUUAUCAGCAUUAACCCAUAUUUUCCAACUUGUUAAUAUUACUAAGAGAGCCCACGGAUUCUUGCUUAAUGAAGCAAGCCAAAAUUUCUUCUGAAAAAAACCCCUCAUUUUCCUCCUCAACACAAAGAA